UGUGGCUGUGGCUCAGUGGCAGAGUACUUGCCUGUCAUGUGUGGAGCACUGGGUUCGAUCCUCAGCACCACAA
rnacentral:tRNA from 1 species